UGUAUGCCAGUUUCGACAUAAUUGGAUAGAACAGUGAAGAACAAACAACUUUUGUUUUGAAAGUUUUUUAAUAUCACUUAUGGAUUGUGAGAUAUCCCAAAACAAAGAUGCUGCUACAUGUACUGCCGAUUGGGCUAUUCAAACAAUAAGAAGAAGAAUCUGACAGAUGGCUUCUGUGUACAUCAUGGUGCUCAUAAAGGGCUGAAACAAAUCCUUGUUCUUGAGUAUGGCUUCAUGCCAAAUUGCGAUGGUGAAAGAUUUGUUGCAUCUACAGUUUGUGUACUACCACUGAGUACCCAAAUCGGCCUUAAAUCUGCAUAAUAAUGUUCUUUUUUUACUUCAACAGUGUUUUCUAGUGUACAUAGUUGUCCUCUGUGGAUUAUUAUUCUUAUUGAUUGAAUAGCCCAAUCAAUGAUACAUGUGGCAGCAUCUUUUUUUGUGUAAUAUAUCACAAUCUGUAGAU
rnacentral:lncRNA from 1 species